rnacentral:pre_miRNA from 1 species
AGAAGAACAGCCCCAGUGGCGGGGCAGCUUUGGAAACCUGGAUUCAGCUCCGGGAGGAACUCCCUCUGCAGGGCCUGGAAGCUCCGGGCGGGG